rnacentral:rRNA from 1 species
CUGGAAUGGCUUAUGGUCUAAACAGUUUACUGCCAUGGGAUGGGACUGCGGCCUAUCAGCUUGUUGGUGAGGUAAUGGCCCACCAAGGCUAUAACAGGUACGGGCUCUGAGAGGAGAAGCCCGGAGAUGGGUACUGAGACACGGACCCAGGCCCUAUGGGGCGCAGCAGGCGAGAAACCUUAGCAAUGUGCGAAAGCACGACUGGGUCAGUCCGAGUGAUUCCUGAUAAAGGAGUCUUUUAUCUAUCCUAAAAGCACAGGUGAAUAAGGGGUGGGCAAGUCUGGUGUCAGCCGCCGCGGUAAUACCAGCACCUCGAGUGGUCAGGACGUUUAUUGGGCCUAAAGCAUCCGUAGCCGGCUUUGCAAGUCUUCGGUUAAAUCCACCUGCUCAACAGAUGGGCUGCUGGAGAUACUACAAAGCUAGGGAGUGGGAGAGGCAGACGGUAUUCAGUGGGUAGGGGUAAAAUCCUCUGAUCCAUCGAGGACCACCAGUGGCGAAGGCGGUCUGCCAGAACACGUUCGACGGUGAGGGAUGAAAGCUGGGGGAGCAAACCGGAUUAGAUACCCGGGUAGUCCCAGCUGUAAACGAUGCAAACUCGGUGAUGCAUUGGCUUAUGGCCAAUGCAGUGCCGCAGGGAAGCCGUUAAGUUUGCCGCCUGGGAAGUACGGACGCAAGUCUGAAACUUAAAGGAAUUGGCGGGGGAGCACCACAAGGGGUGAAGCCUGCGGUUCAAUUGGAAUCAACGCCGGU